AUUGAACGCUGGCGGCAGGCUUAACACAUGCAAGUCGAGCGGGGUGAUGGUGCUUGCACUAUCACUUAGCGGCGGACGGGUGAGUAAUGCUUAGGAAUCUGCCUAUUAGUGGGGGACAACAUCUCGAAAGGGAUGCUAAUACCGCAUACGUCCUACGGGAGAAAGCAGGGGAUCACUUGUGACCUUGCGCUAAUAGAUGAGCCUAAGUCGGAUUAGCUAGUUGGUGGGGUAAAGGCCUACCAAGGCGACGAUCUGUAGCGGGUCUGAGAGGAUGAUCCGCCACACUGGGACUGAGACGCGGCCCAGACUCCUACGGGAGGCAGCAGUGGGGAAUAUUGGACAAUGGGGGGAACCCUGAUCCAGCCAUGCCGCGUGUGUGAAGAAGGCCUUAUGGUUGUAAAGCACUUUAAGCGAGGAGGAGGCUCUUUUGGUUAAUACCCAAGAUGAGUGGACGUUACUCGCAGAGUAAGCACCGGCUAACUCUGUGCCAGCCGCCGCGGUAA
rnacentral:rRNA from 1 species